GACGAACGCUGGCGGCGUGCCUAAUACAUGCAAGUAGGACGCAGUUGCGAACGGGUGAGUAACGCGUAGGUAACUACCUAUUAGAGGGGGCUAACUCUUGGAAACGAUAGCUAAUACCGCAUACUAGUAGCUGGACAUGCGUUGUAUUAGCUAGUCGGUAGGGUAAUGGUCUACCUAGGCAACGAUACAUAGCCGAACUGAGAGGGGGAUCGGCGACACUGGGACGAGGACACGGCCCAGAUUCAUACGUGAGGCAGCAGUAAGGAAUCUGCGGGAAUGGGGGUAACCCUGACCAGUCAACGCCGCGUGAGGGAAGAAGGUUUUCGGAUCGUAAAGCUCUGUUGUGAAGGAAGCGGUACUUAACCAGAAAGGGACGGCUAACUACGUGCCAGCAGCCGCGGUAAUAC
rnacentral:rRNA from 1 species